AGUGAACGCUGGCGGUAGGCCUAACACAUGCAAGUCGAACGGCAGCACAGUAAGAGCUUGCUCUUACGGGUGGCGAGUGGCGGACGGGUGAGGAAUACAUCGGAAUCUACUUUUUCGUGGGGGAUAACGUAGGGAAACUUACGCUAAUACCGCAUACGACCUACGGGUGAAAGCAGGGGAUCUUCGGACUUUGCGCGAUUGAAUGAGCCGAUGUCGGAUUAGCUAGUUGGCGGGGUAAAGGCCCACCAAGGCGACGAUCCGUAGCUGGUCUGAGAGGAUGAUCAGCCACACUGGGACUGAGACACGGUCCAGACUCCUACGGGAGGCAGCAGUGGGGAAGAUUGGACAAUGGGCGCAAGCCUGAUCCAGCCAUACCGCGUGGGUGAAGAAGGCCUUCGGGUUGUAAAGCCCUUUUGUUGGGAAAGAAAAGCAGCAGGUUAAUACCCCGCUGUUCUGACGGUACCCAAAGAAUAAGCACCGGCUAACUUCGUG
rnacentral:rRNA from 1 species